rnacentral:rRNA from 1 species
UACGUAGGGGGCAAGCGUUAUUCGGAAUUAUUGGGCGUAAAGGGCGCGUAGGCGGCUUCGCAAGUGGAAGGUGAAAUCCCUCGGCUUAACCGAGGAACUGCCCUCCAACUGCGUUGCUUGAGGCCGGGAGAGGGAUGCAGAAUUCCAGGUGUAGCGGUGAAAUGCGUAGAUAUCUGGAGGAAUACCGGUGGCGAAGGCGGCAUCCUGGACCGACAUUGACGCUGAUGAGCGAAAGCUAGGGGAGCAAACGGG